rnacentral:rRNA from 1 species
UACGAAGGGGGCUAGCGUUGUUCGGAAUCACUGGGCGUAAAGCGCGUGUAGGCGGACUGUUAAGUCGGGGGUGAAAUCCCGAGGCUCAACCUCGGAAUUGCCUUCGAUACUGGCAGUCUUUGAGUCCGGGAGAGGUGAGUGGAACUCCUAGUGUAGAGGUGAAAUUCGUAGAUAUUAGGAAGAACACCAGUGGCGAAGGCGGCUCACUGGCCCGGUACUGACGCUGUGGUGCGAAAGCGUGGGGAGCAAACAGG